rnacentral:rRNA from 1 species
CCUACGGGAGGCAGCAGUAGGGAAUAUUGCUCAAUGGGGGAAACCCUGAAGCAGCAACGCCGCGUGGAGGAUGAAGGUUUUCGGAUUGUAAACUCCUUUUGUUAGAGAAGAUAAUGACGGUAUCUAACGAAUAAGCACCGGCAAACUCCGUGACAGCAGCCGCGGGAAUACGGAGGGUGAAAGCGUUACUAGGAAUCACUGGGGGAAAGGAGCGCGGAGGCGGGAUAGCAAGCCAGAUGUGAAAUCCUACGGUUUAACCAUCGAACUGCAUUUGAAACUGGUAUUCUAGAGUGUUGGAGAGGUAGGUGGAAUUCUUGGUGUAGCGGUAAACUCCGUAGAGAUCAAGAGGAAUACUCAUUGCGAAGGCGACCUGCUAGAACAUAACUGACGCUGAUGCGCGAAAGCGUGGGGAGCAAACAGGAUUAGAUACCCGGGUAGUC